GCUUACGGCCAUACCACCCUGAGCACGCCUGACCUCGUCUGAUCUCGGAAGCUAAGCAGGGCUGGACUUGGAUGGGAGACUUCCUUGGAAUACCUGGUGCUGUAAGCC
rnacentral:rRNA from 1 species